rnacentral:lncRNA from 1 species
AAAAUAAUCCAACACGGGAAUCGUUUUGGCUGAACCACAUGGAGGAAUUCUCAACAACCAUGUGGCCAGGGACUAGCUAUCCAACCAGGGGACUGGGCUCACCAGAACGCAUAACAUAAUCCUUAAUACCCGUGUGCUGUGACAUGUCUUACACGCGCAAACUAUCCAAACCAUAUUUCACGAGCGGGGUAAUAUAUAUAAUAAAAAAUAUCUCAAAAUCCAAUUUCCAAAUAUUCAAAGGUAACCCAAACCCAUAUAUAUAAUAACAGUAAUUAUAAUAAUAAUAAUACUAACAAUAGUAAUCCCUGGAAAUCCCAUAAGACAAGAUAAUAAAAUCCAAAACACCAUAUUUAAAAUUCCCAAAACCAUAGCCCAUCAAUAUAUACUAGGGGUGGGCAUCGGGACAGGAAAACGGAACACCGAACCGAACCGGUGAAAAAAAAUCGGAAAAAAAACCGGUUGACCAAAAAAGUCAACAAACUAGACCGAAACCGGUUCCAAACAGUUUCGGUUUCGGUUUUACACCCUACCGCACCGGACCGGUCAUAUAUAUACAUUUUUAUUUUUACAAAUUUUUAAAAUCUAAUGCCAUAUUUUAAAUUUUAUAAUCAUUAUUUUUCCAAGUUCAACUUCAAAAAAUUUCUAAAUGUAUGAAUUGGAUUAUUUGUUAAUUUUUAAGCCAAAAAAAUAAGUUAUUUAUUAUUAAAAAAAAUUUGGAAAAAAAUUAAAAAAUUAAAAAAUUAAUAAUCCAGUUCAAAAUCGGAACCGGUCAAAACCGAACCUGUCGGUUUUUGAAAUUUUUUUUGCCUAAAUGAAACCAAACCGAAUCGGUUAAAUAGUAUCGGUUUCGGUUCCGAUUUGAGGUGAGAACCGGACUGAACCGGACCGCGCCCA